rnacentral:rRNA from 1 species
AUACGUAGGGGGCGAGCGUUGUCCGGAUUUACUGGGCGUAAAGGGUGAGUAGGCGGUUGUAUAUGUCAGGUGUAAAAGGCACAGGCUUAACUUGUGUUAGCACUUGAAACUGUACGACUUGAGUGCAGGAGAGGUAAGCGGAAUUCCUAGUGUAGCGGUGAAAUGCGUAGAUAUUAGGAGGAACACCAGUGGCGAAGGCGGCUUACUGGACUGUAACUGACGCUGAGUCACGAAAGCGUGGGUAGCAAACAGGAUUAGAUACCCUGGUAGUCCACGCUGUAAACGAUGAGUGCUAGGUGUUGGGUAGCGAUACUCAGUGCCGCAGUAAACACAAUAAGCACUCCGCCUGGGGAGUACGGUCGCAAGACUGAA